rnacentral:lncRNA from 1 species
ACAAGGACAAUUCUGAAGUUAAUAAUGAAGAUGAAGCAAGUGGAGAGGUAGUCUAAAUUCUUCUUCUUCUGCUUCUUUUACUUUCAUGAACUUUUAGCAUCAUGAGAAAAAACGCUUUGAAUAAUUAUAACGAUUGCUACCCCACAACGGUGUUAUGGUUGUCCAUCAAACUCUAAAAAAGUACCACUCACCUUACAAGCCAAUUUUGCAAGAAUAAAUUAGGCUCAAUUCAAAACCUAAUAUGGUUCAUUCUUUAGAUGACACGUUCCAAAGUUUAAAGGGGCAUACAAUUUGUUUCCGCAUAUUUUUCUUUGAAAUAAGAAAAACUAUGAAAACAAACCUUCAUUUGGCAUAAAAUGUGUUUUUUACCAUCUCUCUUUGUUGUACAGGAUGACCACCAAGAUGACGAGGAAGAGGAUGACGAGGACGAAGAUGACGAUGAAGACGACGAGUGAGAUUUGUGUGCAUAACUUGAAAUAUGAUGUUUCAUUGGUGGAGGGAGGUUUUUAUGUAUUUUCUAGUAGAGCAACUCAUGGAUAUCUGUGUUGAUUAAAUAUUUAUCUCUUAU